GUAACCGCUAAGUCCACAACACAAUCUUCUUGACAAGGUCUCUUCCUCUUGCUCUUCUUCCUGCUUCCAUUUGACACCCAGGAAGACACUACUGCAGGAGAAGCAAUUCUGGAUCAAUGCUUGGGCUCCAUAUUGGGAGGCCAUUUACAGCUCACCUAUCUCAAUGAACACCUUCAGGAAUAAAGGAAUACAUAUGCAAGUGAUCAUAUCCAUGGAGCUCCAAACUUAGACUUCUGCAUGAUCACAGCAAUAUAAACAAAGACAAUGUCUAUAUGACUCUAAGAAGGCACAGCCAAAAAAGCUUUGAACAAAGAUGUGUGCAGCUGAGAAAUGGAAGUCAUACAUAGUUUUCCAUCACAGAGUACCAGAGUAUCUGAAACAGCAAUUUAAAACAUGCUCCAAGAAGUUUUGAAUUUCCCUGUAAUUUCAGAUGGAACUUUACAAUAAAAUAAAAUGCUUCAUAAAAG
rnacentral:lncRNA from 1 species